GGUGGUGGUAGGCAUUUCUUGCUGAGAGAUAUGUAUGAUGAUAUGAUGCUGGAUGGAGUACAGCCAACUAGGGAUACAUUCCAUUCUGUCAUCAGUUAGUGGAAAGGUGGAUAAGCAAAAUGCUCAUUUCUUUGGUGUUACGAUCAACGAGCAACAAGCCGAGUGUGGUAUUGUAGUAAGAGUUACUUCAAAUGCACAAAGCAAAUUUAAGUUACUUUAUUUCGAGCAAGAUGUGAAUGGCGGUUAUGGUUUGGCCCUACAGGUACCAUAUCUUCUUUCCU